rnacentral:lncRNA from 1 species
GCUGAAGCUCCUGAGGACUGCUGCUUGGAGACUUCUGCAAAGCGCAUCCUGUUACAAAGAGUGCAAAGCUUCAAAAUUCAGAACGUUGGGGAGGGAUGCGCCAUUGGAGCCACAUUGUGAGUAGAAACCAUUUGUAAAUGUUUAACAUUCAUUACUUAAGCAGAAGUCCUCUAUUUUCAUUGUAUUCUGCUUUGCCGGUUAAAUGUGGCCUGUUUUCUGCUGCCUCGUCUAACUUUUUCAGCUGUGUGUGUAUGUGUGUGUUUCAUCAUAUGUGAUGACUCAUUGUAUGAUACCUCAUUGUAAGACACCUUUAUUCACGCCUUUAAGGCAGAUGAUCUGUGGUGACGUCUGUGAGGCUCCGCCUGCACAUAUAUAUGUGUAACACCACAGUAAUCCUUCAGUUCGAUAGCCGCUCUUCACCGAGCCUAGCUGCACAGUGGGGCAACCCAGUGUUGUACCUCGUUCCUCUCCUUCAGGGAACAGAAGUUAUAUUCAUAACAUUUCGUUCCCUUUCAGUCGAUUCACUCGGUACAACACAUAUAGUAUGGGACAUAUAUACACGCCCCACAGAGCAGCCACCGAACCGAAGUCAAACCUCCAAAACUUUAGUGCACUGUAGACCCAGCAGAAAGGACAGAGUGAGCCACUGAAGGGGCUGUCCCAUCCAAACAAUAAAACCGAACAAAACUGUGCGGUGAUGAUCAACUGGCUGCAGUGCAGAUAUCACUCACAGAAACCCCUUUAAACAAGGCCCAUGAGGCUGCCAUUCCCCUUGUUGAAUGUGCCCUCACACCUUGGGGCAACGGAAGACCCCUGCUGCCGUAUGCUAAGGAGAUAGCCUCCACAACCCAGCGGUAAAGCUGCUGUUUAGACAGCGCCUUGCCUUCGGCUGGAUUAGCAAAACAGACUAACAACUGGUCACAUAAGCGCACACUCUGAGUGCGGUCUAUGUAAGCGCGUAGUGCACGCACAGGGCACAAGGAAUGCAACCUCCUCUGCUCCUCAGAUGCAAAUGGAGGGGGGCAGAAGCUCAGCAGUUCAAAACUCAUAGAGCUAUAGGCUGUGGGGAUAAUCUUAGGUAAAUACGCCGCGUUUGGGCGCAGUGUAGCCUUAGAUCCAUCCGGAGUGAACUGGGUACAAGAGGGAUGCACAGACAAAACAUGAAGGUCACCCACUCGCUUUGCAGACACCAAAGCAAGUAGCAGUGCAGUUUUGUAUGAAAGAAACUUCAUGUCUGCUGACUCAACAGGAUCAAAUGAGGUCCACCAAGAACCUCAAGCACCAACCCUAAAUCCCAUGAGGGAAUACUGGAUUUAAGAACAGGUCUCAGCCUGCGGACUCCCUUUAGGAAGCGCAUAGCAAGAGGAUGAGCGCCUGGCGUCAUACCAUCAAAGCCAACAUGGCAUGCAGAUAUAGCCGCCAAAUAGACCUUAAUUGUUGAGAAAUAGAGACCCCUAUCCAGCAGGUCCUGAAGGAAUGUUAAAACAUCCACAAUAGAACUCUGAAAUGGGAGUACAUUUCGGUCCUGACAUGCAAUCUCUACUCUCUCACAUGAGGACCCCCCCUGGAGAGAAGGUCUGGCCCAAGGUUUAAGUGACCCAGAAUAUGUGUGGCUCUGAGUGACAGAAAAUGAACACUGCACCAUAGCAACAGAGAGUGAGACAGUUUUAACAGGGGAAGAGAGCAUGUCCCUCCCUGUUUGUUUAUGUAGGAAACCAUGGUUGUGUUGUCCGUCCUGAUAAGAAUAUGAUGGCCCGUCAGAACAGAACGAAAAUGCCUCAGAGCUAAUAGGAUAGCUUAUAGCUCAAGAUAAUUGGUGUGGAGUUUGCAUUGUGAUGGCGUCCACACACCUCUCACUGCUGCGCCCUCGCACAGAGCCCCCCAACCCCUCAGGGAUGCGUCAGUGGACACCACCUUGCGAAAAGACACCCUCCCUAUCGGAGAUCCCCGUUGUAGAAAACCGGGUUCUCUCCACGGGAGAAGAGCCGACAUGCUGGACGGAGUUGUUGUCAGCCUCCUCUGGAGGUGACGCUGCGUGCACAGCCGGUGAGACUGAGUCCAGCGUUGAAACGCUCUCAUCUUUAACAGUCCGUGCGGCACUACAGCGAUCAUAGAUGCCAUCAUGCCUGUCAGCUGUAAAAUCGUCCGGAAACACAGUUUGCGUCCCAACUGAAAUUGUGCAAGGCAGCGGCGAAACGCAGCCACCCUGCGUUCUGACAGACGUGCUCGGCUUGAAACGGAGCAUAUUUCCAGCCCGAGAAAUGAUACCUGUUGACUCGGAGUCAGUGAACUUUUCUGUAAAUUUACGGAAAAGCCCAGUGUUUGGAUGUGUGAUAGGGUCAAUGACAGCUGAGCCGCUGCUCGCUCUCUGGAACGCGCAAUUAGCACCCAGUCGUCCAGAUAGGCUAAGAUGUGAACACCUUUCUCCCUUAGUGGAGCCAAUGCCGCCUCGACACAUUUGGUGAAUGUUCGGGGGCGAGUGAUAAGCCGAACGGCAGCACCAGGUAUUCGUAGGCUAUGCCCUCGAAUGCAAACCUUAGAAACUGCCUGUGGUCCGGAUGAAUCGCUACGUGAAAGUAAGCAUCUGUCAGAUCGAUAGUUGUAAACCAAUCUCCCGGUCUGAUUUCGCCCAGUAGCUGUCUGAGUGUUAGCAUCUUGAACCUGUAAGUUCGUAGGUAUUUGUUUAACACUCGCAAGUCUAAGAUAGGAUGGAGCCCUCCUCCUUUUUUCGGAACAACGAAAUCACAGCUGUACCAACCUUUGUUCGUUUCCGAGCGGGAACAACUCGUAUCGCUCUCUUGUUCAACAAGUUGUUUAUUUCUUCCCUCAGCACUGCUGCUGCUUCCUCUGCUACAACUGUGUGUAUUACAGUAUGAAAGCGAGGUGGCCAGGCCCUGAACUGUAAGCGGUAGCCCAUGGCAACGGUUCUCUCUACCCACGGUGAGACUGCGCAUGUGCGCCACCGAGGGAGAUGAACAGUCAGUUGACUGACCUCCAGCACUGAGGGGGAGGGGUUGUCGCCCUCUAGCGUGCCGGCUGGGAACAGCAAUACUUUCCCGCCCAGACUUGAUUGAUUUAUGAUGUUUUGAGAACAAAACGAAACCUUUAUUAGACUCGACGAACGUACAUUUGUGACAUUCACACAGUGAACAACAGGCGCCAUUACUGAGGCAUGUGUGUGAGGGAGGGUUGUGCUUGGGAAAACUGUGUUAAGGGAGUGCAGCGCCUCUCGGGACCGGACCCCUGAACAGACAUUAAACAAACACAAAGCAGCCUCUUUGGCUGCAAAAAAUGAAGGGCGGCAGCGUCUCUGCCGGUUUGUGCAGAUAACCCUGUUGUUUGGGCCUCGCAUCACGUCUGGGGAUGAUGCUGCUCAAAGCUUCGGUUUGUUUCUUCCUCAGCUCAAAAUUAGCCUGAAUGUCGUCGAGGGAUUGCCCAAACAAACUGCUGGCCGACACAGGCUCGUCAAGUGAAACCGCUCUGUCCCUCUCCGGAACGUCGGAGAGAGUCAGCCACAGGUGCCUCUGCGCCACCACCGUGGAAGCCAUGCCUCUACCGAGAAAGAGCGCUGCACAGCGGGACACACGGAGGAUGUAAUCUGUGGCGACCCUAGCUUCAUUGAGGAGAGGAGAAAGCGGACUGUCAGGAGGCAUACGCAAGCCGAGUUCCACCAGACACAUAGCCUGAUAUGUCUGAAGCAUGGUGACGGAGCUCAGUGCACGAGCCCUAUUUGCCUGUGUCCUGUAAAUUUUAUCCAGCUCUGACGCUGAAAACCUGCAGUGCUUGGAUGGGAGCGUGAUGGGGCUACCGACACCAUGAUUCUGGGCCGGGGCCAGACAGGCUGCCAGGGACGCCUCCAUAGGCGGAGGGUUCACCAAUCCAGCUUUUUCAGCUCCAUCCAGGUCCAGAAACUGUCCACAACCGGGCACUGUGGCGCGGGUGGACAGCAGCUUGUCCCAUGUCGAGGUUACUUCCACGACAAAAUCCAGGAACAUGGGCAAACUGUUCUUAACAGUCGUCGGUUCAUACAGAAAAAACCCUGUGAACCGCAACGGUUUUUGAGCCGGUGGAGGAGAGGGCCAUUCUACUUCCAGUUUCUCAGCUGCAUGGCGGUACAGUGAGAGGACAGAUGUGUCGUCCAGAUCAACCGGCACAGCAGCGGCGGUAUACUGACCUGAAGACAACGGCUCCAGCUCAUCUUCCGAAAAACCCUGCACGUCCAGGCCGAUGUCCAGCACGUCAUCGUCCUCCUGGUAACAAGCUAGCCCGGAUAGCGGCUGGCCAGUGCCCUCAGAGGGGCCCGGCUCAAAUACAGCUGACCCAUCAGCACACUCCACAUGGUUCCAACUGAGCCUUCGACCAGAAAGUCCUCACCACCGGACUCGGAGGAAGCCGGGUCUCUGGACUCAGAGAGGAGGGGAUCGUGCAGCACAACAGCGGAUUUUCCUAGUAUUUUCUCCACAAAAUUUACCCGCCUUCCCAGGGUUGAGCUCCGAAGCCGGUGACAGGACUCACACGACUCGGGCUCAGUCAACGCCCUCCUGGCGUGGACAAUACCCAGGCAAACGGGACAAGCCUCAUGGAGAUCCUUCUCGUGAAGGGAAAAGCCGCACCCCUAAGGACAGUGGCGAACAGAAGACUUUGCCUUCACUUUCAUGGGCUCAGCGCUCAUAACAAGAAGCAGAAGCUGAACGAAAUUAGAAUGAAAAAUUUAACACCAACAGGGGCAGUUAAGCUAAAAACGAUCAGGCAAUAGCCACAGACAAGACCAGGCUGAGCUAGCAGCAGCUAGUUAGCCCGACUCGGUGGAGGUGUUCUCAGCGAGGUGAAGAGCAUACGAACUGAAGGAUGACUGUGGUGUUACACAUAUAUAUGUGCAGGCGGAGCCUCACAAACGUCACCACAGAUCAUCUGCCUUAAAGGCGUGAAUAAAGGUGUCUUCAGUCAGGCCACGCGAGGGCGUGAUAUCCCAUACUAUAUGUGUUGUGCCGAGUGAAUGGACUGAAAGGGAACUACAGAGUAAUAAGUAAAAGUGUAAAUCAAUAAUGAUAUUUGUAUGACUAAGUGUGACUCACAGGCAUUAUUUGUGGAUUUGAGCGAUGCACGUGACUGCGCAUGGAGUAUGAAUGAAACUGAUACGGUAAGCGUGGCUUAAGUGUGCCGUAGAGCUCCCAUACAAUCUUAAAAGAUGUGUCAGUAACAGUGUCAGUUUUCACAAGAAUUUGAAAUUAGCUCCACUUUGAUUCAUUUUCAGAAAAGUGUGGUUGAUUUUGGUCAAAGAUUUAGGCAAUAAAACCUCAGUUUUAAUCCCAUUUUAGUCAGUGUUUCUAAUCAGUCUGAUUUCAAAGUUUUAGUCCGUCUCUGAACACAGAAAAUUACAGCAACUUUUAUCAAAUAAACAAACCUGAUCCUUACACCAGAGUCAAGCCAGACAGUUCUAACCACUAAGCUCUCAUUUUAAUUAUUAACAGCAAAUAUAACACAAAGUGUAAACUCCUGAUCAGCUGUUAUCUCGAGUUAAGUGAGGGAGUUGAGUCAUAACAACAGAGGGUCAGGGCACCAGCUGCAUGUGGGAAGUCAACACCGCCAAGACAUUUUAUAGCAUUUAUAAACGCUUAUGUGACUCUUUACAUCAUCGUUUCCACCGGAAAUUCACUUCAGAAGUUUACUAUCACGUUUUCUCCAUCUUAAAUGGACCCUGCUAGUCAAACUAUGUCAUGUUUUCUCCAAUAGAAGGUUUCUCUGCAGGUUUCCCUAUUACAUUUUCUCUGCUUUAAGAAUCUCCCUGGGGCAGGCUGUGUGUCAUACAUUAGUUAUUUUUAAAUCCCUGAUAAGGCACUCUGCAAGGUCCUUAGUCAUGUGUUCUCCACUAAAAAGGUGGAUCUGGAGGGCCCUUAAUUGUGUUCUCUCCAUCUGAAGAGUCCUAUAAAAGACACAAUAUCAUGUUUUUCUCCAUGGCAAGGGCGUCUGAAAUAUGUUUCCUUUAAGAUUUUCCUUUGAUGAUGAUGAUUGCCGAUGAUUUUAAUAACUCUUAGCCGUGAAUCCUUCAUUUGAGUGAGUACACUGUUGGGACCGCAGCAGAUUUGGGAACAGGAAGUCCUUUUGACCUAGACUCCCACCCCCUUAUGUCACUGCACUCACACUCUCAAAGGCCAAAGAACAAGGCUCCAAGUCUCCAGUACCAUCUGUGGACUUUCCCACAAUUCCCAAAGGCUGUCACCGGGCCACUGAGUUCUAACAAUAGGAGAAAACCUUCAGACCAUUAAUUUUAAAAAUGGUGUUUAUCCAGACAGACUGCUGGGUCAUUGGAUCUGUCAUAAAUCCUACAACAAACACCAAAUCUUGGAGCAAAGAUGAUCAAAUGACCUUAUGUUUAAACUAAAGCUCUACCUUCAAAUGGGCUACCUACCAAAAUAUCACAUACAAUGCAAAUGUCCCUGCUGUAGGCACUUUUGGUGGUGGAUAGAGGUCAGUGCUAAUGUGCAAACAGACCAGCCAGGCAAGUCUGACGAGGGAGGAGCAACCACGGUGAUGUGACACCAGAACAAGCAUGAACUGUUUCACCAGUCUGAGCUUGGACCUCCACUUUCCACAAGUUUCAGUAACUUAUGAUGUUCUCAAGUUUCUCAUGUUGCCAAACCAUCACAGUUGGUUCUUGUCAAUGUAACUCUCAUCCUUGUCAUCCCGCUUUUCCUACAUCAAACAUAUGGGGCUCUAUUUUCGUGUACGCCCGUGAGGCGGCGGAGGGCGGCGAGCCCCACACAGUUGUAUUUUCGUCUAGCGCAGCCCAGCGUACAGCCAGUUUGGUAUUUUCGUGGACUGAGGCGCACGGAGACGAACCGAGAUCCGCCAAGCUGGGCGUGGUGGCGUGGCAGGGGGAGGUGUCGACAGAAUCAGUGGGUGCAGUGACAUUUUCGUGCUCGCCACCAGCGUGUAAAGUGCGCUGAGAGCUUGCCGAUUCAAAUCUGGUCAGCUUUCAGCGCAGGCGGAGCGCAGCUGGUCUAGUGGUGUUUUGGUAGACUGGCGGCGUAUCGGCAUACGUCACCGAUGCCUCACCGGCAGGUUUCCACAGUGUCAGGCACAUUUCAGUGCAAUAAAUAAUCAUCAACAACUAAUAAUCUGAGUCAGCACAUACAUUUAUAUCUAUAUAGAUAUAUUCUGAUCUAUAUCUGAUCUUAUGAAUGCAUUUGGCACACGUUUGGACACACAACCUGACCGAAUCAACACAACUGAAACCGCAUUAAAUUAAAUUAAAUAUCUAGUAAAUAAACACACAUGAUGAAGUUAACUAGAUAUGUAAUUCGUCUCCCUCCUUUUCUUUCUUCCUCUUUCUCUUAAUUCUUGCACAGCUCGUCCUGGACACGUUUCCGUGUCCUCUCCUGCUGCUGCGGCGGCUGAACAGAUGAUUUGUUUCAGUGCUCAGAUGAGUUAUUUACUUUAAGCCUACAUACGGAUAUUAUAAUAUUCAGUUUUGUGAGGCAAAUUUAUUUUAUAUGCCAACAUACACUCACCGGCCACUUUAUUAGGUACACCUGUCCAACUGCUCGUUAACACUUAAUUUCUAAUCAGCCAAUCACAUGGCGGCAACUUAGUGCAUUUAGGCAUGUAGACAUGGUCAAGACAAUCUCCUGCAGUUCAAACCGAGCAUCAGUAUGGGGAAGAAAGGUGAUUUGAGUGACUUUGAACGUGGCAUGGUUGUUGGUGCCAGAAGGGCUGGUCUGAGUAUUUCAGAAACUGCUGAUCUACUGGGAUUUUCACGCACAACCAUCACUAGGGUUUACAGAGAAUGGUCCGAAAAAGAAAAAAUAUCCAGUGAGCGGCAGUUCUGUGGGCGGAAAUGCCUUGUUGAUGCCAGAGGUCAGAGGAGAAUGGCCAGACUGGUUCGAGCUGAUAGAAAGGCAACAGUGACUCAAAUAACCACCCGUUACAACCAAGGUAGGCAGAAGAGCAUCUCUGAACGCACAGUACGUCGAACUUUGAGGCAGAUGGGCUACAGCAGCAGAAGACCACGCCGGGUGCCACUCCUUUCAGCUAAGAACAGGAAACUGAGGCUACAAUUUGCACAAGCUCAUCGAAAUUGGACAAUAGAAGAUUGGAAAAACGUUGCCUGGUCUGAUGAGUCUCGAUUUCUGCUGCGACAUUCGGAUGGUAGGGUCAGAAUUUGGCGUCAACAACAUGAAAGCAUGGAUCCAUCCUGCCUUGUAUCAACGGUUCAGGCUGGUGGUGGUGGUGUCAUGGUGUGGGGAAUAUUUUCUUGGCACUCUUUGGGCCCCUUGGUACCAAUUGAGCAUCGUUGCAACGCCACAGCCUACCUGAGUAUUGUUGCUGACCAUGUCCAUCCCUUUAUGACCACAAUGUACCCAACUUCUGAUGGCUACUUUCAGCAGGAUAAUGCGCCAUGUCAUAAAGCUGGAAUCAUCUCAGACUGGUUUCUUGAACAUGACAAUGAGUUCACUGUACUCAAAUGGCCUCCACAGUCACCAGAUCUCAAUCCAAUAGAGCAUCUUUGGGAUGUGGUGGAACGGGAGAUUCGCAUCAUGGAUGUGCAGCCGACAAAUCUGCGGCAACUGUGUGAUGCCAUCAUGUCAAUAUGGACCAAGCUCUCUGAGGAAUGCUUCCAGCACCUUGUUGAAUCUAUGCCACGAAGAAUUGAGGCAGUUCUGAAGGCAAAAGGGGGUCCAACCCGUUACUAGCAUGGUGUACCUAAUAAAGUGGCCGGUGAGUGUAUAUGAAAGAAAGAGCCAGGCCACGGAGCGUGAUGCGUCAUUUAUGCACAGACGGUUCCGAUUUUAAUGCCAUUUUUAGAGUUAAUGUUGUGAUCUGUGCGCACAACCCACCUUUGUCACGUGAGGUUUGAAUAUAUGCAACUUUAUGUGAGUGUCUUUAUUUGUGGAAAAGGGUGUUUGUCUUACCAGUGGGUCCAACAUUACACACACCAAAUCCAUCUGUGUUCAUAUGAGAGAGUGUGGAGGACGCCCAAUGCAGCGCUUACAGUGACACUUGUUGAGGAGCUGCCCUCUGUCGCCAUCGUGUGGCAGAACUGUCUAAAGACAUCUCUUGAUCUCUUUGACUACUUCAUGAAAAUAGUAAUACGCCUCGCCUGUGACGGAUUUAAAGGCAAGGAGAGGAGCUUAUGUGAUUGGUGAAAACAGGUCUCGGCUGUGUUAAACCCACUCCACGUCCUUUCUCCUCCCUCGCUACGACUUACGCCACUGGGAGGAGCUGAGUUAGGGAGGGGGGAUACUUACGCCGGAUUGCGCUGCUCACCAAAAUACCAAAUUGUGCUUGGGAACGCCUUGUCGGCGCAGCGGACCUGACUUACGCCGCGCCUGCGGCACGUCUCCGGCGAGGCACAAAAAUAGAGCCCAUUAACUUUAAGGACACAAUGUUCACCACCUGCUAAACAUCUCAAACGGUGCCAGUGUGGAGAGAUAGUUCAAAGUUCACCUGUCAAAGGUCAUAAGGCUAUAGCUAGAUCACUUGAAAUGUCUAGACAUAAUGAAAAAAAAGUUUCAUAUUAUUAUUGUUUUCUCGAGGCAUCUGUUUACAACCUUCAGUUAACUAUUUCCCAACAGAACACAUGUUAAUAUGUCAGAGUUUUUUUCUAACUUGUUGCUCAGCAGAAACAGCAGUUCAAUGAAAGUCCAAGUGUAAUACGAUUAAAAAAAUAUGAGAUAGCAACUGUAGGUUUGAUCAUUGCCAAAAAAAAAAAAAAAUACUUGACUUCUACCUUGGCAAAACAUCAUAAAUAAACACGCUGGUAAUGAAGAGUUAGAGGAUGACAGUAAUCUUCAGGGAAAGUCAAACAUGUUCUUUCUUGUUUCUUUCAGCACACUUGGCUGCAAACUGCUCCUGGACAUGAGUGGGUGCUGGGAUCUGAGCAGGUUUUCACCCUGCAGACAAUCCAAGUUCAUCCACCUCUGCAUUUUCCUGUAAAGGCUCUACAGCAGGGGAAUUGCACACUACAGAAG